UAAUACCAGCACCUCGAGUGGUCAGGACGUUUAUUGGGCCUAAAGCAUCCGUAGCCGGCUUUGCAAGUCUUCGGUUAAAUCCACCUGCUCAACAGAUGGGCCGCUGGAGAUACUACAAAGCUAGGGAGUGGGAGAGGCAGACGGUAUUCAGUGGGUAGGGGUAAAAUCCUCUGAUCCAUUGAGGACCACCAGUGGCGAAGGCGGUCUGCCAGAACACGUUCGACGGUGAGGGAUGAAAGCUGGGGGAGCAAACCGGAUUAGAUACCCGGGUAGUCCCAGCUGUAAACGAUGCAAACUCGGUGAUGCAUUGGCUUAUGGCCAAUGCAGUGCCGCAGGGAAGCCGUUAAGUUUGCCGCCUGGGAAGUACGGACGCAAGUCUG
rnacentral:rRNA from 1 species